rnacentral:rRNA from 1 species
GAUGAACGCUGGCGGCGUGCUUAACACAUGCAAGUCGAACGGAGCACUUUAUUUGAUUUCCUUCGGGACUGAUUAUUUUGUGACUGAGUGGCGGACGGGUGAGUAACGCGUGGGUAACCUGCCUUGUACAGGGGGAUAACAGUUGGAAACGGCUGCUAAUACCGCAUAAGCGCACAGCAUCGCCUGAUGCAGUGUGAAAAACUCCGGUGGUAUAAGAUGGACCCGCGUUGGAUUAGCUAGUUGGUGAGGUAACGGCCCACCAAGGCGACGAUCCAUAGCCGACCUGAGAGGGUGACCGGCCACAUUGGGACUGAGACACGGCCCAAACUCCUACGGGAGGCAGCAGUGGGGAAUAUUGCACAAUGGGCGAAAGCCUGAUGCAGCGACGCCGCGUGAGCGAAGAAGUAUUUCGGUAUGUAAAGCUCUAUCAGCAGGGAAGAUAAUGACGGUACCGGACUAAGAAGCACCGGCUAAAUACGU